AUGGUUGAAGAAGUGAAACAUGGCCAUCUUCAGCCACUCACCUGUGUGCCGGGCUUAGAGAAGUUUCAGUGUAAUAUAACACAAAUAUUUUGUUUCCCUGUGGACUCGUGGCAGCGGUGGAGGAGGUUGCAGAGGAAGGGGUAUGUUUGCUGUAGGCCUUUUGCAGGUGGAAGAAUUAGAUUUGAAAUAAAGGAAAGAAAAUUUAUCUUCACAUCUUCAGGAA